rnacentral:rRNA from 1 species
GUGAGGAAUAUUGCGCAAUGGAGGCAACUCUGACGCAGCCAUGCCGCGUGCAGGAAGAAGGCGCUACGCGUUGUAAACUGCUUUUAACCGGGAAGAAACCCCAGGACGUGUCCUGGGUUGACGGUACCGGAGGAAUAAGCACCGGCUAACUUCGUGCCAGCAGCCGCGGUAAUACGAAGGGUGCAAGCGUUAUCCGGAUUCAUUGGGUUUAAAGGGUGCGUAGGCGGCGCGUUAAGUCAGUGGUGAAAUCCUGCAUCUUAACUGUAGACUUGCCAUUGAGACUGGCGCUCUUGAGUGCGCUUGAAGUGGGCGGAAUGUGCCGUGUAGCGGUGAAAUGCUUAGAUAUGGCACAGAACACCAAUUGCGAAGGCAGCUCACUAAGGCGAUACUGACGCUGAGGCACGAAAGCGUGGGGAUCAAACAGGAUUAGAUACCCUAGUAGUCC